GGAGAUUGAGUAACUGGUCUCUGGAUGUGCGUGUGCUGCUUCCCAAAAUAUCUUUUUAAAAAGACGUGAGAGAGAUGCGGAGCUAGUAGGAACAUAUAUCUGAACCAGUGAGAGGCAUUUUCAUGGACAAAGCUCCUGAGGAGUAUGAUUUAAGGACAGGGCUGUCAAACUGCAUUCCUGAAGCCUCCAGUAGGAAUGCUGCCCAGGUGCCUUCUGUGCAUCUCAGAGGAGAUAGACAGGCAGUGGUCAGACAGUGGGGAACACGACCGUGAGAUGCUGAGCAAUACAAGUGUGAGUGGACUGUGCUGAUGGCCAGGAAAAGAUGGGCUGCCAGAUCUCCAUGAAACCACCCUUCUUUUAUCUUCCUUCACCUUUAAUUUAGGAAACACUGGUUAACGGAGAGGCUGAGAAGAUGUGAAAAUUUCCAUCUGGCUACUUCUCUUCCUGAAUCCUUACGAUUCUCAGAGCUGCCCCAAUCCUAGACCAUAAUACACAACGUUUCUCUUAUGCACUGAUAUUCUGGUGUCACUUUGAAAUCAGCCAAGAUGCAGUGGGUCUUAAUAAAGCAAUGGACCUC
rnacentral:lncRNA from 1 species